rnacentral:rRNA from 1 species
AGUGAACGCUGGCGGUAGGCCUAACACAUGCAAGUCGAACGGCAGCACAGGAGAGCUUGCUCUCUGGGUGGCGAGUGGCGGACGGGUGAGGAAUACAUCGGAAUCUGCCCAGUCGUGGGGGACAUCGUAGGGAAACUUACGCUAAUACCGCAUACGACCUUCUGGUGAAUGAGGGGGAUCGCAAGACCUCUCGCGAUUGGAUGAGCCGAUGUCGGAUUAGCUAGUUGGCGGGGUAAUGGCCCACCAAGGCGACGAUCCGUACCUGGUAUGAGAGGAUGAUCAGCCACACUGGAACUGCGACACGGUCCAGACUCCUACGGGAGGCAGCAGUGGGGAAUAUUGGACAAUGGGAGGAAGCCUGAUACAGCCAUACCGCGUGGGUGGAGAAGGCAUUCGGGUUGUAAAGCCCUUUUGUUGGGAAAGAAAUCUUUCAGGCUAAUAUCCUGGGAGGAUGACGGUACCCAAAGAAUAAGCACCGGCUAACUUCGUG